UACGGAGGGUGCAAGCGUUACCCGGAUUUACUGGGUUUAAAGGGUGUGUAGGCGGACUUUUAAGUCAGCGGUGAAAUCUCCGGGCUCAACCCGGAAACUGCCAUUGAUACUAUAGGUCUUGAAUGUUGUUGAGGUGGGCGGAACGGGUCAUGUAGCGGUGAAAUGCAUAGAUAUGACCCGGAACACCGAUUGCGAAGGCAGCCCACUAAGCAACGAUUGACGCUGAGGCACGAAAGCGUGGGGAUCAAACAGG
rnacentral:rRNA from 1 species